rnacentral:rRNA from 1 species
GACGAACGCUGGCGGCGUGCUUAACACAUGCAAGUCGAACGGAAAGGCCCAGCUUGCUGGGUACUCGAGUGGCGAACGGGUGAGUAACACGUGGGUGAUCUGCCCUGGACUCUGGGAUAAGCCUGGGAAACUGGGUCUAAUACCGGAUAUGACCUUACAUCGCAUGGUGUUUGGUGGAAAGCUUUUGCCGUUCAGGAUGGGCCCGCGGCCUAUCAGCUUGUUGGUGGGGUAAUGGCCUACCAAGGCGACGACGGGUAGCCGACCUGAGAGGGUGAUCGGCCACACUGGGACUGAGACACGGCCCAGACUCCUACGGGAGGCAGCAGUGGGGAAUAUUGCACAAUGGGCGCAAGCCUGAUGCAGCGACGCCGCGUGAGGGAUGACGGCCUUCGGGUUGUAAACCUCUUUCACCAGGGACGAAGCGUGAGUGACGGUACCUGGAGAAGAAGCACCGGCCAACUACGUG